CGAAGGGUGCUAGCGUUGUUCGGAAUCACUGGGCGUAAAGCGCGCGUAGGCGGUUAUUCAAGUCAGGGGUGAAAUCCUGAGGCUCAACCUCAGAAUUGCCUUUGAAACUGUAUAACUGGAGUGUCGGAGGGGAUAGCGGAAUUGCUAAUGUAGCGGUGAAAUGCGUAGAUAUUAGCAGGAACACCGGUGGCGAAGGCGGCUAUCUGGACGACAACUGACGCUGAGGCGCGAAAGCGCGGGGAUCAAACAGGAUUAGAUACCCUGGUAGUCCGCGCUGUAAACGAUGGAUGCUAGCUGUUGGGGGGGUUACCUCUCAGUAGCGUAGCUAACGCGUUAAGCAUCCCGCCUGGGGAGUACGGUCGCAAGAUUA
rnacentral:rRNA from 1 species